AGAACGAACGCUGGCGGCAUGCCUAAUACAUGCAAGUCGAACGAAUGUCCUUCGGGAUGUUAGUGGCGCACGGGUGCGUAACGCGUGGGAAUCUGCCCUUGGGUUCGGAAUAACAGUUAGAAAUGACUGCUAAUACCGGAUGAUGACGUGAGUCCAAAGAUUUAUCGCCCAGGGAUGAGCCCGCGUGGGAUUAGCUAGUU
rnacentral:rRNA from 1 species